rnacentral:rRNA from 1 species
UACGUAGGGGGCAAGCGUUGUUCGGAAUGACUGGGCGUAAAGGGUGCGUAGGCGGUGUAGCAAGUUAGAAGUGAAAUACCUAGAGCUUAACUCAGGUGCUGCUUCUAAAACUGCUAUACUUGAGUGCAGUAGAGGAGAGUGGAAUUCCUAGUGUAGCGGUGGAAUGCGUAGAUAUUAGGAGGAACAUCAGUGGCGAAGGCGACUUUCUGGACUGUAACUGACGCUGAGGCACGAAAGUGUGGGGAGCAAACAGG